CGGAGGGUGCGAGCGUUAAUCGGAAUUACUGGGCGUAAAGGGUGCGUAGGUGGUUUGAUAAGUUAGCUGUGAAAUCCCCGGGCUUAACCUGGGCAGGUCAGCUAAGACUGUCAGACUCGAGUAUAGGAGAGGGUAGUGGAAUUUCCGGUGUAGCGGUGAAAUGCGUAGAGAUCGGAAGGAACACCAGUGGCGAAGGCGGCUACCUGGCCAGAUACUGACACUGAGGCACGAAAGCGUGGGGAGCAAACAGGAUU
rnacentral:rRNA from 1 species